AUGGGGAGGCUCAGCACAGGCUGGCAGGGAGCUUUCCGGCUCGCUCUGUGCCAGGGUGGUGGCGGUGGUGGGAUGGCAGUCCUCUUGGCAGCCUGCAGGCAGGGCACUGGGGGGCUGCAUGGGGGAGGCAGCAGGGCCGGGCCAGGUCUGAAGCAGAGCAGUGGUUGGGGGGUCCCAGCUGGGGUCCCAGGCCGAGGGCAGCAGCACCUCGGGGUGCACGGGGUGUCCCGGAGCCAUGUGGAUGCUUCUGGUGCGAGCGCUGUGGGAGAGGCAGGGGGGCGGCCAGGGCAGGGCCCUGUGCUCCGGCCCCCACGGGCAGGGCAGGGACGGCUCAGAGCUGUGACAGCCGCUUGGACUUCGGUGGUGGCGGCGGGGGCGACUUCAGCCCCCUGCUUCCAUCCGCUGUCGGUGACUGGCAGCGCCUGCGAGCAGAGGGGGUGGUUACGGGGGGCAGGAGCCGGGCCGGGCCGGGGCAGGGCUGUGCGGUACCUUCCCCCCGCUGGCAGCAUCGCUCUGCUCCAGGAAGGCCUCGUACACCGUGGGGCUGAUCCUGCGGGGCAGCGGCGGGGCCUUGCUCGCGCUCUUCACACGGCCGCCGAAGCCCGUGGGGGACGGGGACAGCGCUGUGGAGGAAGGCGGGCUGGGCAGUGUGGCCAGCACAGCACCAGGGGGGCCCAGGCCUGCUCUGGGGGCCCUGGGCUGCCCGUGGCCACCCCUGGGAGUGAGGGCCCAGUGCUGAGGGGCUGGGGCUGUGGCCCUGCUCUCAGGGGUUGGACGUCAACGGGGCUGUGGGGGUGGGGAGGUGCCCCCCGGCUGCAGGGGAUGGGAAGGCUGCGGGGCUGGGGGUACCUGCGGGGCUGGGGGUACCUGCGGGGCUGGGGGUACCUGCGGGGCUGGGGGUACCUGCGGUGCUGGGCUCACGGCUCGGUGGCGGCUGUUUCGCGUCGCAGCUGCCCAGGCUGCUCUCGCUCAUGUUGCGGGACAGUCUCCGCUUGUCAUCCUGGGGCAAGGAGAGGGGGCUCAGUGCCCGGGGGGCAGGACCACGGCCCGGGAGCGCAGGAGCCUCUGGCAGGGCACGAUGCUCCCCAGCCCCCUGUCUGCAGGGCUCUGGGCCCCGCACGCCUCCCGCUCUGCCCCUGCUCCCCUCCAUCAGCCCGGAGCGAGCAGGGAGGCUGCAGGGCUGUGCCGGGCACCAUCACCUUGGGCUCUGGCAGCUCCGGGACAGACAGGCGCGUCUCCUGCCGCCAGUACCCAAAGAAGGUGCUGGAGCGGUUCUCCUUGCGCUCGCUCCUGCGGUCCUCACCCUCGGCAGUGCGCGGGGCAGGCUUUGGGGUUCGGGGGUGCCUCCGUGCUGCAGAGAGACCGGGGUUGGUGAGCGGCCAGUGCAGGGGAGUGGGAGCAGGGGCCAUGCUGCUCACCAGCCGGGCCACAACCAGGCACGGCCGACCCUGGCAGAAGCUCAGCAGCGGGUGGGACCUCAGUGCUUGA
rnacentral:lncRNA from 1 species